GCAGAAUUCAGUGAAUCAUCGAAUCUUUGAACGCACCUUGCGCUCCUUGGUAUUCCGAGGAGCAUGCCUGUUUGAGUGUCAUGGAA
rnacentral:rRNA from 3 species